rnacentral:rRNA from 1 species
AGCGAACGCUGGCGGCAGGCCUAACACAUGCAAGUCGAACGAACCUUUCGGGGUUAGUGGCGGACGGGUGAGUAACACGUGGGAACGUGCCUUUAGGUUCGGAAUAACUCAGGGAAACUUGUGCUCAUACCGAAUGUGCCAUUCGGGGGAAGGAUUUAUCGCCUUUAGAGCGGCCCGCGUCUGAUUAGCUAGUUGGUUGAGGUAAUGGCUCUCCAAGGCGACGAUCAGUAGCUGGUCUGAGAGGAGGAUCAGCCACAUUGGGACUGAGACACGGCCCAAACUCCUACGGGAGGCAGCAGUGGGGAAUCUUGCGCAAUGGGCGAAAGCCUGACGCAGCCAUGCCGCGUGAAUGAUGAAGGUCUUAGGAUUGUAAAAUUCUUUCACCGGGGACGAUAAUGACGGUACCCGGAGAAGAAGCCCCGGCUAACUUCGUG